UGGGGAAUUUUGGACAAUGGGCGAAAGCCUGAUCCAGCAAUGCCGCGUGUGUGAAGAAGGCCUUCGGGUUGUAAAGCACUUUUGUCCGGAAAGAAAUCCUUGGCUCUAAUACAGUCGGGGGAUGACGGUACCGGAAGAAUAAGCACCGGCUAACUACGUGCCAGCAGCCGCGGUAAUACGUAGGGUGCAAGCGUUAAUCGGAAUUACUGGGCGUAAAGCGUGCGCGGGCGGUUUGCUAAGACCGAUGUGAAAUCCCCGGGCUCAACCUGGGAACUGCAUUGGUGACUGGGCAGGCUAGAGUAUGGCAGAGGGGGGUAGAAUUCCACGUGUAGCAGUGAAAUGCGUAGAGAUGUGGAGGAAUACCGAUGGCGAAGGCAGCCCCCUGGGCCAAUACUGACGCUCAUGCACGAAAGCGUGGGGAGCAAAACAGGAUUAGAUACCCUGGUAGUCCACGCCCUAAACGAUGUCAACUAGGUUGUUGGGGAUUCAUUUCCUUAGUAACGUAGCUAACGCGUGAAGUUGACCGCCUGGGGAGUACGGUCG
rnacentral:rRNA from 1 species